UCAUCUCCGGGGGUAGAGCACUGUUUCGGCAAGGGGGUCAUCCCGACUUACCAACCCGAUGCAAACUGCGAAUACCGGAGAAUGUUAUCACGGGAGACACACGGCGGGUGCUAACGUCCGUCGUGAAGAGGGAAACAACCCAGACCGCCAGCUAAGGUCCCAAAGUCAUGGUUAAGUGGGAAACGAUGUGGGAAGGCCCAGACAGCCAGGAUGUUGGCUUAGAAGCAGCCAUCAUUUAAAGAAAGCGUAAUAGCUCACUGGUCGAGUCGGCCUGCGCGGAAGAUGUAACGGGGCUAAACCAUGCACCGAAGCUGCGGCAGCGACGCUUAUGCGUUGUUGGGUAGGGGAGCGUUCUGUAAGCCUGCGAAGGUGUGCUGUGAGGCAUGCUGGAGGUAUCAGAAGUGCGAAUGCUGACAUAAGUAACGAUAAAGCGGGUGAAAAGCCCGCUCGCCGGAAGACCAAGGGUUCCUGUCCAACGUUAAUCGGGGCAGGGUGAGUCGACCCCUAAGGCGAGGCCGAAAGGCGUAGUCGAUGGGAAACAGGUUAAUAUUCCUGUACUUGGUGUUACUGCGAAGGGGGGACGGAGAAGGCUAUGUUGGCCGGGCGACGGUUGUCCCGGUUUAAGCGUGUAGGCUGGUUUUCCAGGCAAAUCCGGAAAAUCAAGGCUGAGGCGUGAUGACGAGGCACUACGGUGCUGAAGCAACAAAUGCCCUGCUUCCAGGAAAAGCCUCUAAGCAUCAGGUAACAUCAAAUCGUACCCCAAACCGACACAGGUGGUCAGGUAGAGAAUACCAAGGCGCUUGAGAGAACUCGGGUGAAGGAACUAGGCAAAAUGGUGCCGUAACUUCGGGAGAAGGCACGCUGAUAUGUAGGUGAAGCGACUUGCUCGUGGAGCUGAAAUCAGUCGAAGAUACCAGCUGGCUGCAACUGUUUAUUAAAAACACAGCACUGUGCAAACACGAAAGUGGACGUAUACGGUGUGACGCCUGCCCGGUGCCGGAAGGUUAAUUGAUGGGGUCAGCGCAAGCGAAGCUCUUGAUCGAAGCCCCGGUAAACGGCGGCCGUAACUAUAACGGUCCUAAGGUAGCGAAAUUCCUUGUCGGGUAAGUUCCGACCUGCACGAAUGGCGUAAUGAUGGCCAGGCUGUCUCCACCCGAGACUCAGUGAAAUUGAACUCGCUGUGAAGAUGCAGUGUACCCGCGGCAAGACGGAAAGACCCCGUGAACCUUUACUAUAGCUUGACACUGAACAUUGAGCCUUGAUGUGUAGGAUAGGUGGGAGGCUUUGAAGUGUGGACGCCAGUCUGCAUGGAGCCGACCUUGAAAUACCACCCUUUAAUGUUUGAUGUUCUAACGUUG
rnacentral:rRNA from 1 species